AGGAUGAGAUUUGUGGUUUGUGGUAGCGGUGGCGGUGAAGCAACUUUGCCAAAUAUUCCAUUCAAGUUCCUCGCUGGAUGUCCCGCUCGUCCGUCGAUGUUCAACAAGAUGCAACAAGUGCCAGUCCACUUUUUCUCAGCUGCACCCUCUCAGUUCAGGCAGCAGCAGUACCAGGUGUAUGUACAUAACUUCCAAGACACACGAGUGCAAUUCUGAAGCUGAUUUUCAGGCAUGGAGAGAAGAAAUGCAGGAUGCAGCCAAGAGUCAUUUUACUAAAGGCACAGGGGUAAAAAGAUUGAAAGAUGGAGGUUUAAAGUGUUGUUAUAUUUGUAACU